UGGUUGGAGCUAUAGCUGGUGUUGCUCCAUUUGUGGUGGCCGGGGUUGAGUUCAGCAAGAGAAUUGUGGAACAGAGAAAUUGCAAGGUGUGUAGAGGCUCUGGCCUUGUAUUGAGGGACAACAAGUAUUAUUUUCGAUGCCCUGCUUGCGGUGGCUUUCUGCCAUGGCAAUCUUGGAGGAGAUUCUUUACUGGUUAAAUUAAUGUCAUAAGACAAUACCUUAUCCUCAUAAGUGGUGAAAGAUUCCAAUUGUUGGCGUUCAUCAAGAUUCCAAUUCAAAAUCAAACAAGAUAUUACUGUUGCAUUAUGUAACAAUCCAUUCAGGACCACUAUUUUCUUCGUUAAUGUAACAGUGGCGAAAGAUUAGGAUUGUUGUUAUGUUGUAACAGUGGUGAAAGAUAAUU